rnacentral:lncRNA from 1 species
UCACGGUAGCCCACCAAGUAAGUAGAGGGAGGGAGAAGAGGACAAGGACCAGUAGUACUCCACUAGCUAGCGAGCUAGCUAGCUAGCUCGCCAGACUCCGCUCUCCACCGGAUGGAGAGGAGGACAGCAACAGGACUGUCUUGUCCGGUGCUCUUUCCCUCGUGCACUGCGGGAAAAAAGAGGGCGAAAGCAGCCAAAUGCUACUGCCAUGUGACGAAGGGCUCCUUGGAUGCGAGUGCCACGCCCAGAGGCAGCCUUGUCCUUUGCCUUGGCGGCUGCCAUGCCCCUUAACCAGCGUUAGAGGACAAUGGAGAGAGAGAGAGAGAGAGAGAGAGAGAGAG